rnacentral:rRNA from 1 species
UACGUAGGGGGCUAGCGUUGUCCGGAUUUAUUGGGCGUAAAGAGCGUGUAGGCGGCCAGGUAGGUCUGGUGUGAAAACUCGAGGCUUAACCUCGAGAUGUCAUCGGAAACCAUCUGGCUAGAGUCCGGAAGAGGAGAGUGGAAUUCCUGGUGUAGCGGUGAAAUGCGCAGAUAUCAGGAAGAACACCAAUGGCGAAAGCAGCUCUCUGGGACGGUACUGACGCUGAGACGCGAAAGCGUGGGGAGCGAACAGGA